GUGGGGAGCAAACAGGGAUUAGAUACCCUGGUAGUCCACGCCGUAAACGAUGUCGAUUUGGAGGUUGUGCCCUUGAGGCGUGGCUUCCGGAGCUAACGCGUUAAAUCGACCGCCUGGGGAGUACGGCCGCAAGGUUAAAACUCAAAUGAAUUGACGGGGGCCCGCACAAGCGGUGGAGCAUGUGGUUUAAUUCGAUGCAACGCGAAGAACCUUACCUGGUCUUGACAUCCACAGAACUUUCCAGAGAUGGAUUGGUGCCUUUGGGAACUGUGAGACAGGUGGUGCAUGGCUGUCGUCAGCUCGUGUUGUGAAAUGUUGGGUUAAGUCCCGCAACGAGCGCAACCCUUAUCUUUUGUUGCCAGCGGUUCGGCCGGGAACUCAAAGGAGACUGCCAGUGAUAAACUGGAGGAAGGUGGGGAUGACGUCAAGUCAUCAUGGCCCUUA
rnacentral:rRNA from 1 species